rnacentral:rRNA from 1 species
CCUACGGGUGGCUGCAGUGGGGAAUAUUGCACAAUGGGCGCAAGCCUGAUGCAGCCAUGCCGCGUGUGUGAAGAAGGCCUUCGGGUUGUAAAGCACUUUCAGCGGGGAGGAAGGCGGUGAGGUUAAUAACCUCAUCGAUUGACGUUACCCGCAGAAGAAGCACCGGCUAACUCCGUGCCAGCAGCCGCGGUAAUACGGAGGGUGCAAGCGUUAAUCGGAAUUACUGGGCGUAAAGCGCACGCAGGCGGUCUGUCAAGUCGGAUGUGAAAUCCCCGGGCUCAACCUGGGAACUGCAUUCGAAACUGGCAGGCUAGAGUCUGGUAGAGGGGGGUAGAAUUCCAGGUGUAGCGGUGAAAUGCGUAGAGAUCUGGAGGAAUACCGGUGGCGAAGGCGGCCCCCUGGACAAAGACUGACGCUCAGGUGCGAAAGCGUGGGGAGCAAACAGGAUUAGAUACCCCAGUAGUC